rfam:Hyphopichia burtonii NRRL Y-1933 unplaced genomic scaffold HYPBTscaffold_5, whole genome shotgun sequence.
GCUCCAGUGGCGCAGAGGUUUAGCGCUUCGUGCUUAUAGCCGUGUUACGACGAUAUUGGUUAUACCAUAAGUCACGGUCGUGUGAGGAACGCGACGGUCGUGGGUUCAAUCCCCUCCUGGAGCA